ACAGUAUCUAAAGGGAUGAUGGUCCG
rnacentral:piRNA from 1 species